rnacentral:rRNA from 1 species
AGUGAACGCUGGCGGUAGGCCUAACACAUGCAAGUCGAACGGCAGCACAGUAAGAGCUUGCUCUUACGGGUGGCGAGUGGCGGACGGGUGAGGAAUACAUCGGAAUCUACUUUUUCGUGGGGGAUAACGUAGGGAAACUUACGCUAAUACCGCAGACGACCUACGGGUGAAAGCAGGGGAUCUUCGGACCUUGCGCGAUUGAAUGAGCCGAUGUCGGAUUAGCUAGUUGGCGGGGUAAAGGCCCACCAAGGCGACGAUCCGUAGCUGGUCUGAGAGGAUGAUCAGCAACACUGAACCUGAGACACGGCCCAGACUCCUAGGGGAGGCAGCAGGGGGAAAUAUUGGACAAUGGGCGAAAGCCUGAUCCAGCCAUACCGCGUGGGUGAAGAAGGCCUUCGGGUUGUAAAGCCCUUUUGUUGGGAAAGAAAAGCAGCAGGUUAAUACCCCGCUGUUCUGACGGUACCCAAAGAAUAAGCACCGGCUAACUUCGU